GACGAACGCUGGCGGCGUGCUUAACACAUGCAAGUCGAACGGAAAGGCCUUUUCGGCGGUACUCGAGUGGCGAACGGGUGAGUAACACGUGGGUGAUCUGCCCUGCACUCUGGGAUAAGCCUGGGAAACUGGGUCUAAUACCGGAUAGGACCGCACUUUAGUGUGUGUGGUGGAAAGUUUUUUCGGUGUAGGAUGAGCCCGCGGCCUAUCAGCUUGUUGGUGGGGUAAUGGCCUACCAAGGCGGCGACGGGUAGCCGGACUGAGAGGUUGGUCGGCCACAUUGGGACGGAGAUACGGCCCAGACUCCUACGGGAGGCAGCAGUGGGGAAUAUUGCACAAUGGGCGCAAGCCUGAUGCAGCGACGCCGCGUGGGGGAUGACGGCCUUCGGGUUGUAAACUCCUUUCGCCAGGGACGAAGCGUUUUGUGACGGUACCUGGAGAAGAAGCACCGGCUAACUACGUG
rnacentral:rRNA from 1 species